AGAAAAUAUAUUCAGAAACGUUUCUCUGAGCAUAUACUGUUGCUUUGUUUUAAUUCUCAUUUUAUGUAACUAUUGCAUGUUGUAUGUCUAAGUGUGUCUUAAGUGUGUGUGUGUGUGUGUGUGUGUGUGUGUGUGUAGACACACAGAAGAAGAAAAAUCCAGUGUAAACGAUGGCCACUAUUUCUA